rnacentral:lncRNA from 1 species
CCCACAUCCCGGAUUUUUCCCCCUCCCGAUCCCGUUUUUCCCGUUGGGAUCCCGUUUUUCCCGGCAGGCACUGUAACAUGGUGCUGGAGAACGUCAAGGAGAUGUGGACCGAGGUGCCCAAGAGCGGCAAAGGGAAGAAGAAAUCCAAACCCGUCAACAAGGACCGGUACAUCUCCAAGAUGUUCCUGCGCGGAGACUCCGUCAUCGUGGUGCUCCGUAACCCCCUGAUCGCGGGGAAAUAACGGGGAAUUCCCAGCUGGAAACAUCCUGGAACAUCCCAGAACCUUCUGGAACAUCCCAGAGCAUCCCAGAGCAUCCCAGAGCAUCCCAGACUCCGUCAUCGUGGUGCUGCGCAACCCCCUGAUCGCGGGGAAAUAACGGGGAAUUCCCGAUUGGAAACGUCCCAGAACCUUCUGGAACAUCCCAGAACCUCCCGGAACAUCCCAGAACAUUCUGGAACAUCCCAGAGCAUCCCAGAGCAUCCCAGGCUCCGUCAUCGUGGUGCUCCAUAACCCCCUGAUCGCGGGGAAAUAACGGGGAAUUCCCAGCUGGAAUCAUCCCAGAACCUUCCAGAACCUUCCAGAGCAUCCCAGAGCAUCCCAGGCUCCAUCAUCAUUGGGAAUUCCCUGCUGGAAUCAGCCCUGGAACCUCCCAGAACCUUCUGGAACCUUCCAGAACCUUCCGGAACCUUCCAGAACCUUCUGGAACCUCCCCAGAGCGGCUCCGUCAUCGCUGGGGAGCUUGGGAUUCCUUGGGAAUCAUCCGUGGAACCUCCCAGAACCUCCCAGAACCUUCCAGAACCUCCCGGAACCUCCCAGAAGUUUCCAGAACCUUCCGGAACCUUCCAGCCCCCUCCGGCUCAUCCCACAUUUCCCCUCCCCCCUCGUUCCUGGCUGGAUUUUCGGGAAGGAGCCGAAUUUUGGGAUGGAACAGGAAUUUUGGGAUGGAGCAGGAUUUUUGGGAUGGAACAGGAAUUUUUGGGAUGGAGCUGGGAUUUUUUGGGAUGGGAUUUUUGGGCUGGGAUUUUUGGGCUGGGACAGGAAUUUUUUGGGAUGCAGCAGGAAUUUUUGGGCUGGGAUUUUUGGGCUGGAACAGGAAUUUUUUGGGAUGGAC